rnacentral:rRNA from 1 species
GUGGGGAAUUUUGGACAAUGGGCGCAAGCCUGAUCCAGCAAUGCCGCGUGCAGGAAGAAGGCCUUCGGGUUGUAAACUGCUUUUGUACGGAACGAAACGGUCCUGGUUAAUACCCGGGGCUAAUGACGGUACCGUAAGAAUAAGCACCGGCUAACUACGUGCCAGCAGCCGCGGUAAUACGUAGGGUGCAAGCGUUAAUCGGAAUUACUGGGCGUAAAGCGUGCGCAGGCGGUGCUGUAAGACAGGCGUGAAAUCCCCGGGCUUAACCUGGGAAUUGCGCUUGUGACUGCAGUGCUGGAGUGCGGCAGAGGGGGAUGGAAUUCCGCGUGUAGCAGUGAAAUGCGUAGAUAUGCGGAGGAACACCGAUGGCGAAGGCAAUCCCCUGGACCUGUACUGACGCUCAUGCACGAAAGCGUGGGGAGCAAACAGGAUUAGAUACCCUGGUAGUCC